UCUAAUAUGGCAGAUAAGUGCAAUGGAUUUAAGCUCUAUAAAUAAAGUAUUUUAAAAACUUUUAUUAGAA
rnacentral:tRNA from 1 species